rnacentral:rRNA from 1 species
AACGAACGCUGGCGGCAUGCCUAAUACAUGCAAGUCGAACGAGAUCUUCGGAUCUAGUGGCGCACGGGUGCGUAACGCGUGGGAAUCUGCCCUUGGGUUCGGAAUAACUUCUGGAAACGGAAGCUAAUACCGGAUGAUGACGUAAGUCCAAAGAUUUAUCGCCCAAGGAUGAGCCCGCGUAGGAUUAGGUAGUUGGUGAGGUAAAGGCUCACCAAGCCGACGAUCCUUAGCUGGUCGGAGAGGAUGAUCAGCCACACUGGGACUGAGACACGGCCCAGACUCCUACGGGAGGCAGCAGUAGGGAAUAUUGGACAAUGGGCGAAAGCCUGAUCCAGCAAUGCCGCGUGAGUGAUGAAGGCCUUAGGGUUGUAAAGCUCUUUUACCCGGGAUGAUAAUGACAGUACCGGGAGAAUAAGCUCCGGCUAACUCCGUG